rnacentral:rRNA from 1 species
CCUACGGGAGGCAGCAGUGGGGAAUAUUGGCAAUGGGCGCAAGCCUGACCCAGCAACGCCGCGUGAAGGAAGAAGGCUUUCGGGUUGUAAACUUCUUUUGUUAGGGACGAAGCAAGUGACGGUACCUGACGAAUAAGCCACGGCUGACUACGUUCCAGCAGCCGCGGUAAUACGUAGGUGGCAAGCGUUAUCCGGAUUUACUGGGUGUAAGGGGCGUGUUGGCGGGGUAGCAAGUCAGAUUUGAAAACCACGGGCUCAACCUGUGGCCUGCAUUUGAAACCGUUUUUCUUGAGUGCUGGUGAGGCAAUCGGAAUUCCGGGUGUAGCGGUGAAAUGCGUAGAUAUACGGAGGAACACCAGUGGCGAAGGCGGAUUGCUGGACAGUAACUGACGCUGAGGCGCGAAAGCGUGGGGAGCAAACAGGAUUAGAUACCCGUGUAGUC